UAUCUGACAAAGUAAGCAGUAUAAAUACCUUAUCAGACAGUCAAAUAGAAACCAUACAAAACGAUACAGAGUUUAUUGAAGGUAUCGAGAAUAAACUCAAUCAAUGUAAACAAAAUAAAGACGUGGAAGAAUGUCUUCUAAAUGUAAGCAUGGAUAUUAUGAAAGAAACUGAAGCUGUGACUGAUGAAAUACUAAAACGCAGACUUGAAUCAAGAAAUAUAACAGAUGAAAUCUUAGAUGCCAUCAUCGCAUGUUCCACUGAUGGUUUAAUUGAGGCAACUGCUGUUAUAACUGCUGAGGGACUGAAUAUUAUACAAUGUUUAGCACAACAUGGAGAUCAUGAAACGACUACCACAGCAAACUACUCAUAAAAUAAAUAAACACCAUGAAAGAUACAAAAAA